GACGAACGCUGGCGGCGUGCUUAACACAUGCAAGUCGAACGGAAAGGCCCCUUUGGGGGUACUCGAGUGGCGAACGGGUGAGUCACACGUGAGUAACCUGCCCUUGACUUCGGGAUAACUUCAGGAAACUGGGGCUAAUACCGGAUAGGAAUCCUUGCUGCAUGGUGGGGGUUGGAAAGCUUCGGCGGUUUUGGAUGGACUCGCGGCUUAUCAGCUUGUUGGUGGGGUAGUGGCUUACCAAGGCUUUGACGGGUAGCCGGGCUGAGAGGGCGACCGGCCACAUUGGGACUGAGAUACGGCCCAGACUCCUACGGGAGGCAGCAGUGGGGAAUAUUGCACAAUGGGCGGAAGCCUGAUGCAGCAACGCCGCGUGCGGGAUGACGGCCUUCGGGUUGUAAACCGCUUUCAGCAGGGGCGAAGCUUGUGGUGACGGUACCUGCAGAAGAAGCACCGGCUAACUACGUG
rnacentral:rRNA from 1 species